UUCUCUAAUCUCUAUAGACAAAUUAACAAAUGUCUCCUGUACAACAUUAGCGUGAAACUUUUUCAUAAUGUCUUCUCUCCCAAACUCAUCAAAAUCUCAAAUUUCUCCUUCCUAACCCUAAAAUCAAAAAUCAAAUUGCUUCUUCUCUAACAAGAACCCCUCCAAUCAGAUAUUCAAAUUUCUUGUCCCAAACCGUAAAUUGAAUCACCUCCUCUUAUGAAUCAAAUCCUAAAAUCAAGAAUCCUCAAUCCCAACACCAUCGUUCUUCGCCUGCUUAAUUUAUAUGAAGAAAGCUCUCCUUUCACAGUCUCUUUUAUCUCUCUCGGUCAUAGCAUCUAUGUUCGUACCCGCGAACCUAAACCUAUAGGGUUAUCUGUUUACUUUCUCUUUUCUAUAUGGGUCGCAGCCUCUGCUCGUCUGGACCUCAACCCUCUGUCUACUUCCCGACCACUUAUUUCUCUGUUCAUCUCGACCACUAGUUUAGAUCUAAAUGAAAAAUGGAAUUAAAGUUUUUUUCCUUUAUUGCUAUUACUGUUGUUUAUUACAACUUCUCAUUUGAUAUGUGGAUUAUGAUAAGAUUCAGAUAUAAUGAUAAUAAUAAUGUUUCUUUCCAGGUUUGAUUUUAUCAUCGCGAGAGUUCGUUUAGAAGGGAAUAUACUAUCUUUGAUGGUCUGUGAUAGGAUAGUUUCGUCGACUAUCUUAGAGGAAUCGGCUGUUCGGAUGUUAAGGUGUAUGCUAUUACCGAAGGGACUAUUGUUUUUGGUUUUCCCUAAGGUACCUGUGAUGAGAAUUGAAGGUCCAAUGAGUACUUUCUACCGUUAAAUACUUUCUUUUAGUUCAUAUACACUUAUUACUCUUAAGUCUUGUUUCUCUCAAGGACUACCCGUCUUAUACGUUAAAUCAACAUUUGUAUUGUUCAAGGUAUUCAAUUGUUGGAAACACCUUUUUGUGAAACUAAUUAACUUUGCUUCAUUUGUAUCUACUAAUCCUGCAGACUACCGUUAGUUGCAAGGAAAUCUAAAAAUUUACUCGAGGUUGGACUUUGAAGUGCCCAGGUUACUAUAUCUUACUAGAAAAUAUGUCUUAUGCAAGGGGGCUGAUGGUGGAAUAAGUGCAUCAUAGUACUGUUAUAUUUAAGGCUUUGAUGCAACAAGGGGAGUACUCGUCUCUAGGGAAUACAAUUUAUUUGUAGGAGACAAGAGAGAAGAGUGUCAUAUAGAAGAGUGUUACUAUAGUAAAAUAACAACAGGGGACAACUUUUAUCAUGUCGAAUUAAGGUUAGAAAAUUGAACCACCGACAGAGUUAGACUUUAUCAAAUAUGACACGAAUUUUUAGAGAGAUUAGCCUCACAGAUAUAAUAGCAGAAGUAACAACAAAUGGUUGUUAACACUUUCUAUGUUCGUGGAGCUUGUGGUUGUAUUAUUGAUUAUAAGACAAUUGAAUCUAUUUGGUAAACGAUUGGUAAAACCAUGGUAAACAAUACUGAAAUAAUUCUGUAAUUUUGUUUAACUUAGAAUUAUAUUAAAAUUAUUGUUAUUUAAA